CUCAGCGCCGCCGGGGCGUGGGCGGCGGCGGCGCUGGGCCGGGGGGAGCCGCGAGGCCGGGAGCGGGGUAGGCUGCGCCCGUACUUAAGCGCUCUGCCCGAGCCGCUGACGUCUUUCGAAUUGGAGACGGGGCCGUUCCCCUCCCGCCUCGGGCUCCCGCGGACGCGGCCGGGAACGGAGCCAGGGUACGAGUGUCUAGAAUGCCCAAGUAUGCACAGCAGCUUAGAGAUCAUGACAGAAAUCCUUGCAUAGCGGAAACAGAUGCCUCUAGAAAAUGUAUGGAUGACAACAACUAUAAAAAGGAUAUGUGUACUGAUUAUUUUUUGAAGUACAAAAACUGCAGAAAAUUCUGGCAUGACAUUAUGAUGCAAAGGAAAAGAAAUGGUGUGAAACCGGAGAUGCCAUCAGCAGAAGAGAGAAAGAAAAUCUUGGAAUCGGUAGAGAAGCCAUACUGACUACAAACUUGCAUUGUUUUACUGUUUUCACUGUACAUACGAAGACUUAACAGCAGCAGGUUGCCCUCUUGUAAACUGGACUUCACUGUUGCCGUAGCUUGGAUUAAAUGUGGUUAACUGUCUUUGGUUGUGAGCCAAAGGUAAUGGUAUUUUCUUCGUGUCUGAGAGUUGAUAUUCUGCACAUCAAGCACUGAGGUAAGUUGUAGACUGCCAGGCUUUCUGGGCAGAAAUAAAUCGGGUUGGACUCCUUGCUUCACUAACGCAAGCACGCAAUCUUCUGUGCUAACACAGGAGCAAAACAUGAAGGACCAAUGCAAUUCGUUUGGGAAGGAGAAGACUUUUUGUGGGUUUUGUUUGCUAGUUUUAACUUAGUUUUUUGUGGUACAAAACUAAAUCUGGAUCGUGGUGGUGAACUGUUUCAUUUUUUUGUUUGACAGCUGGAUGGUGCUGUUGUACAACAGAGGCUGCAUGAAAACAACAUUGCUAACCACUGCUGUCUUUCUAGGUGUUUUUUUGUUGUUUUUUUUUUUUUUUAAGCCUCUUCCACAGAUUUAAAAUCUGAAAUUCAUUUAGGAGAAGGGAAGGCUGGAUGUUGCCUCUAUACUAUAAAGAGAUGAGGAAGGUGAGAGUCUAAAAUGCUGGAGAUAGGGAGUUUAUGUGUAGCCUGAGAAACCUUUAAGAAUGGUCCUCCAGAGUAUCUUUUUUUCCACUGAGGUCUCUUGCUCAGAGCUGAGCACUGAACCAGCAGUAGCUCUGGGCUUUCUGCCAGGCCCAGGUGAACGUCCAGAUGUGUCUUUGUUUUACAGUCUUGUGGUUCCUGUAAUCCUAUAGUGCAAGACUGCUGUGAUGCUUUCUGCUCCCAAGGUGGGUAUGACUUGGUGCUCCUGUAGGUGUUAGCCAUUUAGCUCCAGAGUCCUGAAAACAUCUUUGGGUUCAGUAGGUAAAGCUUUGAUAGGCAGAUCGUUGCAUGUACUGCAGCUUUGGGUGUUCUUGGUCUUCUCUGACUAGUAAAGUAUGGAAAGGAAUGGAUAAUAUAGAUAUACUUCAGAUAUUUUUUAAUUGUUAUUGCUACCUGUUGGAUAGAAAAUUACAUUUAUACCCACUAAAUGCUAAUGGACUAAAUGGACUAUUAAGGCUUCAGUAUGUUUUUAUCUGUUUCUAUAGAUAAGACUCAUCAGAUUUGAAUAAAUUCUCACUCCAUUCUUCAGGGUUCUAUCUUGGUGCCUUCUUUGUCCAAAUCCUUUUGUGAGUGACUGCAGUUCUAACACUUUCAAUACAGGUGAAGUCUUUAAAUCACACGAUUACUUCCCACUUGACACUUGAUGCUGAACUAAAUGCAGCUAACCUGAAACUCUUUUAAAAUUAGCCUGUCUUCCCUGUUAGCAUCUCACUAAAUAAUGUCAGCCUUUUCCUUGCGCUAGUGCAAAUCCUGCCCUUAGACUCUCAUUUUCCUAUGACUUCAGUCUUGUGGAUUUUCCUCAUGUACAAUACUAUUUCAUCUCCUGACUUAUAUCUGGCUUUCUUGCUUUUUGAUUGAUUUGCUUCUUAGCUUGUCUUGUAACUUCAGGAUUGACAUCUAUGUAUGUGGUGUCAAGUUUGUUGUGGAGGUAUCAUUCUACAGUAGUUUCUUCCUUGACUGCCUUUUGCCAGUCUUCACUUUCACAACUGAUUUCUGUUAACUCUGCCUGGAACCUCUUUCCUGCCUUUUUCUUACAACUCUAGCUUCCCUUUCAGCCCCAAAACACAUUUCCAUAGCUCACAUCCAGGGAUUAAAAAGAAAGUCUUCCUCCAGCAGCAGACUCCAAGAUGGGAUGUCUACGUAUAUGAAAUGCUAACUGAACGGCUUUUCAGUUAGCAGUGAAAACUUCAGGUUUUUAGAAGUUCUGAUAGCUCUUUGAGUGCUUUUUGAGUCUGAUUUGUUUUAUGGUGGUGCUUUGUGUUUAAUUUGAGCUGUCAGCUCCUUCAGCAGCAGUCUGUAGAAUGCUGCACGCAGCUGUGGCACUGCAGAAACAAAUAAUACUGAAACUUCUGAGGCUGAGAACCACAACAGAUACUUGUGUCUUUCAGAUCCUGAAGUAGCACAGUGGCUGACCUAGUUAUUAACAGUAGCUUGCCUAGAAAAUGUCUUCUGAAGGGAUGUGAGGCCAUUCAGUCUUAGAAUCAUAGAUUAUCCUGAACUGGGAGGGACUCACAAGGAUCAUAGAGUCCAAACACUUUCUUAUGCUGUCUGUGGGAGUCAUUGCAAUUUAUUAUAUAUUAUUUUACAAAACCAAAGAAGUUGGACUAGCAUGAGUCUUCCAUAAAUAAGAUGGGUUUCUUUUGGUUGCGGUUUUUAGAGUGAAUAAAAUCUUCAUAGCCACUGGAGUUAGGCAUACCACUAUUGUUUUCUAAAAACAUCCUUUUAAAAAUUAAUUUUUAGAAUUGUUUUCUUUAUUUCUUUAUAUACAGUUUUCCACUCCUGCCAAGUUGACUUCCAGUUUACUCUUAGGUCUUUACUGCCUGUAAAAGAUUACUCCUAUUCACAGUGCCUAUUUCAGAGCUGUGUGAGGUGUGUAGUGUACAAUUUGAGCAGAUUUCAUCUGAAGCCCCAGUCCUAAUCUAUUUCAGGAAUUAUUCUACAAUCUGCUAUUUACUUGAAACUUGACCUAGUUGAAUUCAAUUUUGCCAUUGCUUGGCACAUUCAAGCACUGCUGCGCUUGGGCUACUGCUUUACUUUGAUAAGCAGCUGUCCACUGGAAACAUUUCCUGACAGUUAAGUGUUGGCAGUUUGCAGACUUGAAACAAGAAUGAAAAUCUCUAAUUGCUCAAUAUUUGCUACUUUUCAAGCAUUUAGUUUUGGUUUCAGUAUGAGAAACACGUUGCCUCCUUUGAUUUCAGCUGAGUUAGUUCAGUGGAUACAAGCUACGGUCCGCCUCCUGAAGCUACUAUUAAAACAAAUGCUUUCAGUUGAUGACAAGUUUGUGUUUUAAAAUGUUUUUACCACUUUAUGAGCACUACUACAGUUCCUUCUCUUUUAGUUUUUUUUACUGUGCAAUGUCAUUUCUUUGCUUUUAGUGAAGAGACUCUUGUUUCUAGCAGCUUCAGUGGCACAGAAAUAUCUGCAUCUUUUACUACCUAUGUUUUCUAUCUCAGCACUUAAUAUUCUUAACUUACACCUUCUGCAAUAUAUUUUGUAUUUUCUUCAUGAAGACUUUUCAAUUCAACCUUUCUUUCUGGAGAGUGCUGUUAAAUUCCUGUACUUCAGUACCUUCAAGGAUGAUGAUGGUAUUCUAUUUUCUUAAUGCUUUGCAUAACACUUUCUUGGCACAAUACCUUGCUCUGUGUGCCAGGGAAUAUUGAUGUCAUCCAUUGUCCUGUAAAAUAAGAUUAAUGGCUCUCAAUUAUUGCAAAACACCAUUCUGUGCAUGCUAUGGAUCAGCAAUUUAAAGCAGAAAGUAGGCAACCAAUCAGUAACAAAAUUUGGUGCUCUAUUUAUUCUUACUGGAAGUGAAGAAUACAAAAUGUUUUAACUGCUUUUCAGUAGAAGCAGUUAAACAUCACCCAACAUUCAUGUUCAAGAAAUAAAAACCCUCUGAACUAUGUAGUUCAGAACCUUGUGGGUCAAGGGUCAGAUUUUUGCAUAUACUUUUUAUACUUUUUUGCAUAUACUUAAAAUUGAACUAUUGUCUAUCAAAUAUCAAUGUUACAUGUACAGACAAUUGUAAGCCUUGUUAUAUCAGUGAGAUGUAAAAUAAAUUGAAAACAUAAUUAUGCUUUGGAGUUGUUCCAAAAUAGAUCAUAAUUUCAAAGUAACUAAGAAAGACAAACAAGAAAGCUUAUGCUCAAGAUAGAAAAGGAAUACUAAAUGUCCUGAAAGGAAAUAACACUUGAGAUGAUAUUAGACUAAUAGUAGAAAUAGGUUGAUAUCUCAAACUUACGAAUGAUCAUAAUUCCUUGCAGUAUGGACUGCUGAGCAGCUCUUGGCUGUGUGUAACUGGUUAAGUGAUGGACAAGGCUGCACGUGAGAACUUGAGUGGCAGGAAUUCAGGUGUCUUCUGCUGAUUUAGAUCAUGGAAUUAUACAGUUGUUUGAGUUGGAAGGGACCUCUAAAGGUCAUCUGGCCAACUCCUCUGCAAUGAGCAGGGGCACCUACACUGCAUCAGGUUGCUCAGAUCCUCAUCCAGCCUAACCUUGCAUGUCCCCUGGGAUGGGGCUUCUGCUGCCUUGCUGGGCAGCCGGUGCCAGUGGAGUGAAAUUGAACCAAGUUGCUGCACUGGCGUAUUCUUGUAACACAGUGCUUGCUUCAGUGCAUGGGAAGUAGUGAAGGGGUAAAGGGGCAGACCUUUAGGUAGAGUGUGCUUUGUGAAAUUGCCGUUUCCUCCUGUGUCAGACUUCAGCUCUGAGAUUCCUGAUGGCUGAUAGGUUCAAACAGACUUGACUGGCUCCAAAAAAUGCUGUGUUUUAAUUCUCUUCUACUUGACAGGCAAAAGCAGCUCCUUCAGCAGGUUAAAGAUGAUGGUUAGUGUAUGAUUCUGGGCUGACUAAUCCUGUACAGAAUAGAAGAAGUGUUUUGACUCUUUAAACUGUAGGUUCCUAAGGGCAUGCUUAUUGGCUAUCUGUAGACAGCUGGAGCCUGUGAGUGCCCAAUGCUUUGAAUCAUAACCAUUAAGGUUGGGAAAGACAUCUAAGGUCAUCUAGUCCAACUGUCAACUCACUGCUGCUACCAUGCCCACUAACCAUAUCCUUCAGUGUUACAUCAAUGCAUUCUUGAAAACCUCCAGCAAUAGUGACUCGUCCUGCAUCCUUCAGCAGCCUAUUCCAGUGCCUUACCACUCAUUUGAGGAGAAUUUUUUCCUAGUACCUGAAGCAUCAGAAGUGACCAGAGGAUGACGUUGCACUGCAUCCUUUCAUACUGGCAGUGCAAAUGGGAUGGCUUUUUACAGAGUAAGCUUAUCACUGGUCCAGUCCAUGGGAGUGCCCACUUGCACUCUGUGAGGUAUGCUGAUGUGGGAAUGAGAGGGAGGACAUUCAUUUUCUUCUUUCAGGGUGUUAGGUGAUGCCAGAAUCUGCGGUGAUGCCCUUCAGCAGCUGUUUCUCAAUCCCUCAUUGCUGCCUUUGUUAGUCACUGUUCAUCUACCCACACACUAGAAGUAUUUUUCAGCUUUCUGCCCUCUAAAUUUUAACACUCAAAACCCUGAGAAUCAAAUAUGUUAAUAAAUACCUUAACACCUCAGCUCUUUUAGGGUUUCUGUGGAAUUAAAGGAGUUCACAGUGUGCUUCUCUGUUCUGUAGUGUGGGAAAAUCCCCCACCAGGAGCAAGUGGGCAUCAGAAUCUCUCUGUCUUCCCUAAUUGGCAGCCACAGGAGAUAAGGCUCCUGGACAAGCUGUUGUGAAGCCACCUGUGGUUACCUGCAGGUGACCCCUGUUUUGAGUACAGCAGUUCUCUGACCCAAAUGGUACAGGUUUGUGCUGGUCUGGAAAUGCAGGCUGGUUGUUCCCAUGUGCUCGUGAGGGCACUUCCUGCUAGUCUUAGGAGGAGUGGUUGGAUGAGCUGGGAUUUCUUCUGGAGAAGAGGAGGCUUGGAGGAGACCUCACUGCACUCUGCAACUUCCUGAAGGGAGGUUGUGGUGAGGAGGAGUUUGGCCUCUUCUCCCAGGCAACAAACAGAACCUGGGGAAAUGGCUGCAAGUUGUACCAGAGGAGGUUUAGGUUGGAUAUAAGGAAGAACCAUUUCUCUCAGAGAGUGGUCAGGCACUGGAAUGGCUGCCCAGGGAGGUGGUGGAGUUGCUGUCCCUGGCAGUGUUCAAGAGGUGUCUGGAUGAGGAGCUGUAAGAGAUGGGUUAGUGCUUGUGGUAGCAAUGGUAAUGGGAGGACAGUUGGACUAGAUGAUCUUGCAGGUCAUUUCCAACUUUGUGAUUCUAUGAACUUGGCAUAUGUGUAAUGGUGGCAAGCAGACAUUGGUUUCUAAAAUCAGAGUAAUUUGCUAACUGAAAAUGUUACAAUGUCUUCAUUUAUGGUUUUCUUUGCAAUCCUCUGCUAGGUAUAGAGAAGGUGUUCACUUGCAGGGAGAAAGAUUUUUAUGCACAUGUAUUUCCUCAUGAUGUAUCUGCAGCUCAGCAUUCACAUUGCUGGGAGAGAGGAACAGAACCUGCUGUUUAGUCAGGGAUUGAUGCUUCUGACGUAAGCAGCUUGCAGGUGUUCUUCUAUGAGCCCUUAGAAGGAUACUCAACAUGUGGUAUUGCAAGAACACUUUCAGUGAACUUUAGGUAAGCAAAUUGACCUAAUUUAAUAAACCACUUUUCAUCAAGUGAGAUGGAGCCAAAUCAAGUGCUUUUGCCAAGAAACGUAUUUUUAUUAGCAUGGUACAAUUGGUUGCUUAUUAAGCAACCUGUGUUCGCAGUGUGUGCUGGGGGCAGGAGCAGAGCUGUGGCCUUGGGGUUUCCCACCCAGAGAGGGUGUGCUGGGGAGGGAGGGGGGUGGCUCCAGGCUUCCUGCACUGGGCUUUGUGUGGAACUGGGCAUUUCAAAAUAAAUUCAAGUGUUAUUUCACUGUUCUUUAAAUUAUGUUUGUAUUUUAAUUUUCAUUCUUUUAGCAGCAUUACCCCUAUUGUGUCCCAACAGUGACAUCACAAUCAUCAUAUCUGUAAUGGAUUUAUUGAAAGGCAUCUCUGUUCUUGUAACCUAUUCUGAUGUGUUGUGCUAGCAGACUAGAUCAUCUUCAGAGGUCUUUUCUAGCCUUAAUGAUUCUGCCUCCAGUGAUCAGCUUUGCCGUUAAGUGAAAAUGUCCACCUCUGGCCCCCCAGCACAGCUGCAGUACUUUUUGAUUCAGCGGAGAUGCUAAUAGGAAACCAAAGUAGUAUUUUUCUAUUCCUGACAGGCAGCUUACACAACGGGUGCUCUUCUUCCUCAGGUACUAUAAAAACCAGGGCCUCAAGACGCUUAUUUGUCAGUGUUCAGUGAAUGCAUAUGAUUGUGUGCUGGUUUCCUCUCUGUCAAGGCAAUCACAUUUCAGUUCUCAAGAUGAAGCAUUUUUUCCCCUCUUCUUUGAGACCUGUUUAAACUAUUUGGAUGUUAUUAAGCUUAGUAUCAUUUAUAAGGAUAAUUCAAGCCAACAGGAUACUGAAUGGAAAAAUAGAAUAGCUUGAGAGUAUUUGCAGACUUUACAACAGUAUAUCUUGUUUUAAAAUUUCGUUUUUAUUAAAUAUUAUCUUAAAAAAAAAAAAAAAAAGUUUUCCAGAAAACAA